UAAGCAUAUAAGUAAGCGGAGGAAAAGAAACUAAAUAGGAUUCCCUUAGUAAUGGCGAAUGAACAGGGAUCAGCUCAGUAUGGAAAUCGGGGCUUCCCAGCCUUGAAUUGUAGUCUCAAGAGGUAUCGCCAACGGAGGCGCAGAUGUAAGCCUCUUGGAAAAGAGCAUCAAUGAGGGUGAGAAUCCCGUUUGUCAUCUGCAGUCCCCCGUGCACGGUGUAUCUUCUAAGAGUCGCGUUCCUCGGGAUUGGAGCGUAAAGUGGGUGGUAAAUUUCAUCUAAGGCUAAAUAUGGGUUCGAGACCGAUAGCAAACAAGUACCAUGAGGGAAAGAUGAAAAGGACUUUGAAAAGAGAGUUAAAAGUGCCUGAAAUUGCUGAAAGGGAAGCGAAUGGAACCAGUGCUCUUGGCGAGAUUGUUGUGCGCUAUGGUGAUUGCUGGCUGCUUCAGCGCAAGCGGGGUAGUUGGUACUGAGCCUGCCGCGCGCAGUGUUUCUUACCUUGUGCGUCACCGUCGGUUCACAGGCGAGGAUACUUCUGAGGACAUGGUAACUCUUCCACGGAGGUGUGAAUGUCUUUGGUAAUACUCGUUUGUAGACCGCUCACCUUCGGGUUACGAUGACUAAAUGGUUCUAUUCGACCCGUCUU
rnacentral:rRNA from 1 species